AUUUAUAUAGUAUACUAUAUUAUAUUUGACUUCCAAUCAAAAGACCUAAUUAUUUUUAGUAUAAAUA
rnacentral:tRNA from 1 species